rnacentral:rRNA from 1 species
UACAGAGGUCUCAAGCGUUGUUCGGAUUUAUUGGGCGUAAAGCGCGCGCAGGUGGUGCGGUAAGUCUGCCGUGAAAUCUCCCGGCUCAACUGGGAGGGGGCGGUGGAGACUGCCGGACUGGAGGGACCUAGAGGCCGGUGGAAUUCCCGGUGGAGUGGUGAAAUGCGUAGAGAUCGGGAGGAACACCAGUGGCGAAGGCGGCCGGCUGGGGGUGCCCUGACGCUGAGGCGCGAAAGCGUGGGGAGCGAACCGG